CCCCUUGACGAGGACGAGCUCAUCUCCUACAUCCUUGCUGGCCUGGACAUGGAGUACCAGCCCCUCGUCUCCGCCCUCGACGCCCGCACCUCACAUGUCACCCUUGACGAACUAUUUGCUCAGAUGAGUAACUUCGAUC
rfam:Triticum urartu cultivar G1812 contig75377, whole genome shotgun sequence.